CGGUAAACCUUGGGUGGGUAAAUGUCGCUCGCACUCAUUAGGAAAAAAUUUACUUCAUCUCCACUAUAAAUAAGGGUGGGCAUGCACGGCAGCAAUGGAGCUUCACAUCACUGAGAUUGAAAGACAAAAAAAUUAGUCAUGAAGGAAUACAGAAGCCACGUAAUUUUGGUUCCAUAUCCCAGCCAAGGCCAUAUAAAUCCUCUUCUUCAAUUUGCAAAACGUUUGGUCUGUAAAGGCGUGAAGGCUACAUUAGCCACCACCCAGUACACCGUCAAGUCCAUUUGUGCACCGCACGUCCAAGUUGAGCCCAUCUCCGAUGGUUUCGAUGAAGGUGGGUUUGCUCAAGCUAAAAACGAGGACUUUUUCCUUAAGUCUUUUGCUACAAAUGGCUCAAAAACUUUGUCUCAACUCAUUAAAAAAUAUGAAAACUCUACUACCCCUGUUACUUGCAUUGUGUAUGACUCGUUUCUGCCUUGGGCUCUUGAUGUUGCCAAGCAACAUGGCUUGUAUGGAGCUGCGUUCUUUACGAAUUCAGCUGCUGUUUGCGCCAUUUUCUGUCGUAUACACCAUGGCUUAUUGACUCUACCUGUAAAGCCGGAAGACACUCCGUUGUCAAUACCUGGGUUGCCUCCGUUUAACUUCUCUGACUUGCCCACUUUUGUAAGGUUUCCAGAAAGUUACCCGGCGUAUUUAACCAUGAAAGUCAGUCAGUUCUCGAACUUGGAGAAGGCUGAUUGGAUAUUGUGUAAUACUUUUGAAGAAUUAGAAUGCCAGGAGGCGAGAAGCGUAUCAGAUCUAUGGCCGGGAAAGUUGAUAGGUCCGAUGGUGCCAUCGGCAUACUUGGACGGGCGGAUCAAAGGUGACAGAGGAUAUGGAUCGAGUCUGUGGAAGCCGUUUAGAGUAGAGUGCAUUGAGUGGCUGGAAACAAAGCCAAAGCAAUCAGUGGUGUACAUCUCUUUUGGCAGCAUGGUCUCACUGACAACAAAACAGAUGGAAGAGAUUGCUUUGGGAUUGAAAGAAAGCAAUUUGUAUUUCCUUUGGGUCAUCAGAGAAUCCCAAUCUGACAAAAUGCCAGAUGGGUUCACAGAGUCCACAAAAGAAAAGGGUCUAGUCGUGACAUGGUGCAACCAACUGGAAGUGUUGGCACACGAAGCAGUGGGUUGCUUCGUGACACAUUGCGGGUGGAACUCGACGCUUGAAGGGCUGAGCCUCGGCGUGCCAAUGGUGGGCAUGCCGCAAUGGGCUGAUCAGCUGCCUGACGCCAAGUAUGUGGAGGAAAAUUGGGAGGUGGGAGUUAGAGCUAAGGAGGAUGAAAAAGGGAUAGUGAGGAAAGAAGAAUUUGUCAAGUGUUUGAAGGAAGUGAUGGAAGGGGAGAGAAGCGAAGCAAUUAAGAGGAAUGCUAGUAAGUGGAAAAAGUCGGCAGAAGAAGCCAUUAGCGAAGGAGGGAGCUCUGAUAAGAACAUCAAUGAAUUUGUGGAGAGUUUGAUGCGUUCAAAUGGGAAAGCAAAGUAAUUGGACAGCCAUGAGGUGUAAUACAAAUUGAUUAAUGCCUCUUAUUUCCAUUUGCGUUGGUGACAGGUGAAGCGCACAAAGAAGCUGACAUUUUGAGAAGAAAAGUUCUACUAUCAUACGUAAGUGAAGUGCGGCUACGUGUCAAAUCGUGUAUGUAUUUCGAAUUAUAUAUUGUAAGAUACAACUUUUUC